UAUUUGUUCAUUGGAUCUUAUUUGCACCUACAAACUUCAGAUUUUUAUGUUAUCAGGUUAAAACAUAAGAAAAUUACUUAAUUAAUGGUGCUUGUUGCGCGUUUACAUGUCAAUUUAUUAUAAUGGGUUGUUUUUGUUAAUGAUAUAUGAAAUACACCCUUUAAUUUUAUAAAGAAAAACGAAGAUAGUAUAUUUAGUACCUGGAGAUGGUGAUGAAACUGGCGGGGAAGCCCGGGAAUUUGGCGGUACUGGUGUCGGAGAUGGUGGUGGGGGUAUGACAAGAGUACUAACGUUAAAAAACCCAUAAGUCUCGUACCUAAAGUUACACUUAGGUGCAAGAUUUCUGCCUCCAAUAAUCCCGCCAAACCGAUUGGAAAACAGACUGAUAGCAUUUUCCAAACACUCAUUGCAUAGUAGCUGCGUUAAGUCUGGAGUACACUGCACAAGCCCGUAAAUAUUUGAGAAAUCUGGCCCGGUCGUGUUCCCAGUGGCAAACUUCCUCAGCGAACCACCAGCAGCCGCGGCUGCAGUCAGAUUGCUCAACAACGGUCUAAGAGCCGCAGUAAACCGAUCCCUAUUUGUCGCGUUUUGGGUGUUCAGCAAAUACACACUAGUCUGCAUGGGAUUGUUUCCCAAUAUACUUCGGUUGGAGUAUACUAGGAAACAGUAGUCGUAGUAUCCUACUGCUUCCUUUUGGUUAGGGCAGACUCGUGGCAAGUUAACAAUGGAGUCGUUCAGACAACUCAAACACACGUCAGGAUUGACGUCGCCUCGACAAAGAGCGACCGAGUUGACUCUAUCGCUGCCUUGGCCACGGGUGGCGUUGAAGAAACCUUGGCCCGAGUUGGUGGAAGGAAGGGCAGCGAGGACGGUGUUGAGGUUUCUUUGGUAUGUACUGUUUCUGGUAUAAUUGCCGAUGGAUUGCGCGCAGUUAGAGUAAAUGAAUUCGGCUUGUUGAGCCCGGGUGAUGGUAGUGUUUGAGCAUAUGAAAAUAAGUGUGAACCAUAAGAGUGUUGUGGCGGGUAUGAACAUGCUUGGUUUUGGUGGAGGCUUGGAGGGAGGAGGCUAGAGAAGGUAUGGAAUAAGUAGUUGGGUGUAAGCGUAUGGUUUGUGGUGUGUAAUCGCCACACGUUUUCAAUUACAUUUAACGACUUUAAUUCAGCUUGAAUGAUUGAUGGAAACAUAAAUUGUACUGUGUUAGAAAAUAUAUUGAGAAAUUAUUGAUGUACGAUAACGUGUAGAAUUUAAUUCAGCUUGAAUGGUUGACUGAAACAUAAAUUGUACGGUGUUAGAAAACAUAUUGAGAAAUUAUUAUUGUACUAUAACGUGUAGAAUAGGGGGAGGAGGGGUGGUCACUAGUGAUAGAUUUCUAUCACUUCCACUAUCCAAUCAAAUCAUGCCAUGUCAUCACCCAAUAUUCUAUCACUAUGAUGGAAAUUGGAUUGAUGACAUGGCAUUACUUGAUUGGAUAGUGGGAGUGAUGGAAUUCCAUCACUAGUGAACCACCCCUGGUCCCCUUAUAGUCGAAUAAUUCUCUAAAUUCUAUAUAAAAACAAUCCUUAGAAAAUGUAACCAAUUCAGGACCGACACAUGCCAUAAAAUUACGUAAAUUUCGCAGUUUAGAUCAUGGCCUACCAAGAAAUAUUCACGAUCAGGAAUAUAUAAUUCAAGGAAAUUUCGUCGUUCAUUAUUUGAUUUGACAGGCUAGUCAAGUGGUGACAUGUUGGUACGAAACUUUUAUGCUAUCCACAUAUAUCGAUCGCUUAACUUGUUUUGUAAACAAUGGCAUAAAUAAUGAUGGAGAUCUUAGGGUAUUUGUGGAACAACCAUAAUUUAUUGAUCUGUUAUGUGAAAGUUUGAUUUGUGUUUGGAAUUUUAAGACAUCCUCUCUCUUUAUAUACAUUUUGAUUUGUGUUUGAAUUUUAAGACAUCCUCUCUCUUUCUCUACUUUCUUUUCGUUAAAUUCUUUUUUCGUCCACGUGGUUUGUUAAUUUUAACCAGCUCUUGAAUAUAAUCGUCAAACUGUCAACCCCUCUUUGUCUACUUUUCAAGAUUCUUUUCACGUAAAUUGUGGUCCAAACUAGAAAUUGAACAGACAGAGACGAUGGAUGGUGUAUGUGGACUCUUUGUUUGUUUUCUGAUGAUGG
rnacentral:lncRNA from 1 species